rnacentral:rRNA from 1 species
GCGUUGUCCGGAAUUAUUGGGCGUAAAGCGCGUGUAGGCGGUUCGGUAAGUCCGCUGUGAAAGUCGAGGGCUCAACCCCCGAAAGCCGGUGGAUACUGUCGGACUAGAGUACGGAAGAGGCGAGUGGAAUUCCUGGUGUAGCGGUGAAAUGCGCAGAUAUCAGGAGGAACACCCAUUGCGAAGGCAGCUCGCUGGGACGUUACUGACGCUGAGACGCGAAAGCGUG